rnacentral:rRNA from 1 species
AGCGAACGCUGGCGGCAGGCCUAACACAUGCAAGUCGAACGGACCCUUCGGGGUUAGUGGCGGACGGGUGAGUAACACGUGGGAACGUGCCUUUAGGUUCGGAAUAGCUCCUGGAAACGGGUGGUAAUGCCGAAUGUGCCCCUUCGGGGAAAGGAUUUAUCGCCUUUAGAGCGGCCCGCGUCUGAUUAGCUAGUUGGUGAGGUAAUGGCUCACCAAGGCGACGAUCAGUAG